rnacentral:SRP_RNA from 1 species
GUGUAGACUAGAUUGGGAGGUUAGCCGUCUCUUGUAACUCCAAACCGGCUUUAUGGGAGGAUUGAAGCCUUGGGAGAGGUAUAAAGUUUAGUCAAUAGUCUUGGUUCGGACUGGGAUGCCUUGUCCUGUAGGGUUGGUCUGUGUGUGAACCGAGUCAGGCCCUGACGGGAGCAGCUCUAAGCUUAUGGAUUGGCGCUUAUAGGGGAGCAUGGCUGAGAAAGAGUCAAGGUAGCUAUUUUCUGUAUUUUAUGUCCAUUUCAAGGUGUGUCUACAC